rnacentral:rRNA from 1 species
GGGUUGUGAGGUUAAGCGACUAAGCGUACACGGUGGAUGCCCUGGCAGUCAGAGGCGAUGAAGGACGUGCUAAUCUGCGAAAAGCGUCGGUAAGGUGAUAUGAACCGUUAUAACCGGCGAUGUCCGAAUGGGGAAACCCAGUGCAAUUCGUUGCACUAUCGUUAACUGAAUACAUAGGUUAACGAGGCGAACCGGGGGAACUGAAACAUCUAAGUACCCCGAGGAAAAGAAAUCAACCGAGAUUCCCCCAGUAGCGGCGAGCGAACGGGGAGCAGCCCAGAGUCUGAAUCAGCUUGUGUGUUAGUGGAACGGUCUGGAAAGUCCGACGGUACAGGGUGAUAGUCCCGUACACCAAAAUGCACAGGUUGUGAACUCGAAGAGUAGGGCGGGACACGUGGUAUCCUGUCUGAAUAUGGGGGGACCAUCCUCCAAGGCUAAAUACUCCUGACUGACCGAUAGUGAACCAGUACCGUGAGGGAAAGGCGAAAAGAACCCCGGCGAGGGGAGUGAAAAAGAACCUGAAACCGUGUACGUACAAGCAGUGGGAGCACCUUCGGGUGUGACUGCGUACCUUUUGUAUAAUGGGUCAGCGACUUAUAUUCUGUAGCAAGGUUAACCGUAUAGGGGAGCCGCAGGGAAACCGAGUCUUAACUGGGCGUUAAGUUGCAGGGUAUAGACCCGAAACCCGGUGAUCUAGCCAUGGGCAGGUUGAAGGUUGGGUAACACUAACUGGAGGACCGAACCGACUAAUGUUGAAAAAUUAGCGGAUGACUUGUGGCUGGGGGUGAAAGGCCAAUCAAACCGGGAGAUAGCUGGUUCUCCCCGAAAGCUAUUUAGGUAGCGCCUCGUGAACUCAUCUUCGGGGGUAGAGCACUGUUUCGGCUAGGGGGUCAUCCCGACUUACCAACCCGAUGCAAACUACGAAUACCGAAGAAUGUUAUCACGGGAGACACACGGCGGGUGCUAACGUCCGUCGUGAAGAGGGAAACAACCCAGACCGCCAGCUAAGGUCCCAAAGUCAUGGUUAAGUGGGAAACGAUGUGGGAAGGCACAGACAGCCAGGAUGUUGGCUUAGAAGCAGCCAUCAUUUAAAGAAAGCGUAAUAGCUCACUGGUCGAGUCGGCCUGCGCGGAAGAUGUAACGGGGCUAAACCAUGCACCGAAGCUGCGGCAGCGACACUAUGUGUUGUUGGGUAGGGGAGCGUUCUGUAAGCCUGCGAAGGUGUGCUGUGAGGCAUGCUGGAGGUAUCAGAAGUGCGAAUGCUGACAUAAGUAACGAUAAAGCGGGUGAAAAGCCCGCUCGCCGGAAGACCAAGGGUUCCUGUCCAACGUUAAUCGGGGCAGGGUGAGUCGACCCCUAAGGCGAGGCCGAAAGGCGUAGUCGAUGGGAAACAGGUUAAUAUUCCUGUACUUGGUGUUACUGCGAAGGGGGGACGGAGAAGGCUAUGUUAGCCGGGCGACGGUUGUCCCGGUUUAAGCAUGUAGGCUGGUUGUCCAGGCAAAUCCGGAUAAUCAAGGCUGAGGUGUGAUGACGAGGCACUACGGUGCUGAAGUAACAAAUGCCCUGCUUCCAGGAAAAGCCUCUAAGCAUCAGGUAACAUCAAAUCGUACCCCAAACCGACACAGGUGGUCAGGUAGAGAAUACCAAGGCGCUUGAGAGAACUCGGGUGAAGGAACUAGGCAAAAUGGUGCCGUAACUUCGGGAGAAGGCACGCUGGUGUGUAGGUGAAGUCCCUGCGGAUGGAGCUGAGACCAGUCGAAGAUACCAGCUGGCUGCAACUGUUUAUUAAAAACACAGCACUGUGCAAACACGAAAGUGGACGUAUACGGUGUGACGCCUGCCCGGUGCCGGAAGGUUAAUUGAUGGGGUUAUCCGUAAGGAGAAGCUCUUGAUCGAAGCCCCGGUAAACGGCGGCCGUAACUAUAACGGUCCUAAGGUAGCGAAAUUCCUUGUCGGGUAAGUUCCGACCUGCACGAAUGGCGUAAUGAUGGCCAGGCUGUCUCCACCCGAGACUCAGUGAAAUUGAACUCGCUGUGAAGAUGCAGUGUACCCGCGGCAAGACGGAAAGACCCCGUGAACCUUUACUAUAGCUUGACACUGAACAUUGAGCCUUGAUGUGUAGGAUAGGUGGGAGGCUUUGAAGCGUGGACGCCAGUCUGCGUGGAGCCAACCUUGAAAUACCACCCUUUAAUGUUUGAUGUUCUAACGUUGGCCCCUGACCGGGGUUGCGGACAGUGUCUGGUGGGUAGUUUGACUGGGGCGGUCUCCUCCCAAAGCGUAACGGAGGAGCACGAAGGUUAGCUAAUCCUGGUCGGACAUCAGGAGGUUAGUGCAAUGGCAUAAGCUAGCUUGACUGCGAGCGUGACGGCGCGAGCAGGUGCGAAAGCAGGUCAUAGUGAUCCGGUGGUUCUGAAUGGAAGGGCCAUCGCUCAACGGAUAAAAGGUACUCCGGGGAUAACAGGCUGAUACCGCCCAAGAGUUCAUAUCGACGGCGGUGUUUGGCACCUCGAUGUCGGCUCAUCACAUCCUGGGGCUGAAGUAGGUCCCAAGGGUAUGGCUGUUCGCCAUUUAAAGUGGUACGCGAGCUGGGUUUAGAACGUCGUGAGACAGUUCGGUCCCUAUCUGCCGUGGGCGCUGGAGAAUUGAGGGGGGCUGCUCCUAGUACGAGAGGACCGGAGUGGACGCAUCACUGGUGUUCGGGUUGUCAUGCCAAUGGCACUGCCCGGUAGCUAAAUGCGGAAGAGAUAAGUGCUGAAAGCAUCUAAGCACGAAACUUGCCCCGAGAUGAGUUCUCCCUGAGACUUUAAGUCUCCUGAAGGAACGUUAAAGACGAUGACGUUGAUAGGCCGGGUGUGUAAGCGCAGCGAUGCGUUGAGCUAACCGGUACUAAUGAACCGUGAGGCUUAACCUUACAACGCCGAAG